rnacentral:lncRNA from 1 species
CUGAAAAGUGGUGGCUGUGUGACUGCGUUCUAGUCAAUGGAAUGUGAACAUACAAGCAGAAAAACCUAACCAUGAGAAAAACAUCAGAAAAGACAUAAUUGUAGAACAUACCAUAACAUACCUGAUGAGUACUCUUCAGAACUUUCAAAGCCAGCAAAAACAAAGUCUGAAAAACUGUCACAGCCAGAAGGAUCCUUAGGACAAAUGACGACUAAAGGAUUGGUGACCUCAUAAGAAGAGAAAGAGCGAGAUCUCCCUAUCUCUUUUCAUGUGCACAUGAUGAAAAAAGGCCAUGUGAGCUCACAGUGAGAAGGUGGCCAUCCGCAAGCCAGGAAAUGAGCCCUCACCAGGACUGAAUCACCUGAUCUCAUACUUCCCAGCUUCCAGAACUGUGAGAAAAUAAAUUUUUGUUGUUUAUGC